rnacentral:rRNA from 1 species
GAUGAACGCUGGCGGCGUGCCUAAUACAUGCAAGUCGAGCGAACAGACGAGGAGCUUGCUCCUCUGACGUUAGCGGCGGGCGGGUGAGUAACACGUGGAUAACCUACCUAUAAGACUGGGAUAACUUCGGGAAACCGGAGCUAAUACCGGAUAAUAUAUUGAACCGCAUGGUUCAAUAGUGAAAGACGGUUUUGCUGUCACUUAUAGAUGGAUCCGCGCCGCAUUAGCUAGUUGGUAAGGUAACGGCUUACCAAGGCAACGAUGCGUAGCCGACCUGAGAGGGUGAUCGGCCACACUGGAACUGAGACACGGUCCAGACUCCUACGGGAGGCAGCAGUAGGGAAUCUUCCGCAAUGGGCGAAAGCCUGACGGGGCAACGCCGCGUGAGUGAUGAAGGUCUUCGGAUCGUAAAACUCUGUUAUUAGGGAAGAACAAAUGUGUAAGUAACUAUGCACGUCUUGACGGUACCUAAUCAGAAAGCCACGGCUAACUACGUG